GUCUACGGCCGUACCACCCUGAAUGUGCCCGAUCUCAUCUGAUCUCGGGAGCUAAGCAGGGUCAGUCCUGGUUAGUACUUGGAUGGGAGACCGCCUAGGAAGACCAGGCGCUGUAGGUG
rnacentral:rRNA from 1 species